rnacentral:rRNA from 1 species
CCUACGGGGCGCAGCAGUGGGGAAUAUUGCACAAUGGGCGAAAGUCUGAUGCAGCAACGCCGCGUGAAGGAAGAAGGCCUUCGGGUCGUAAACUUCUGUUCUUGGGGAAGAAGAACUGACGGUACCCAAGGAGGUAGCCCCGGCCAACUACGUGCCAGCAGCCGCGGUAAUACGUAGGGGGCAAGCGUUAUCCGGAUUUACUGGGUGUAAAGGGGGCGAAGAUGGCUAUGCAAGUCAGGAGUGAAAGCCCGAGGCUCAACCGCGGAACUGCCCGUUAAACUGCAUGGCUGGAGUACAGGAGGGGCAGGCGGAAUUCCUAGUGUAGCGGUGAAAUGCGUAGAUAUUAGGAGGAACACCAGUGGCGAAGGCGGGUUGCUGGGCUGUAACUGACGUUGAGGCACGAAGGCGUGGGGAGCAAACAGGAUUAGAUACCCGUGUAGUC